rnacentral:rRNA from 1 species
AGUGAACGCUGGCGGUAGGCCUAACACAUGCAAGUCGAACGGCAGCACAGUAAGAGCUUGCUCUUACGGGUGGCGAGUGGCGGACGGGUGAGGAAUACAUCGGAAUCUACUUUUUCGUGGGGGAUAACGGAGGGAAACUUACGCUAAUACCGCAUACGACCUACGGGUGAAAGCAGGGGAUCUUCGGACCUUGCGCGACUGAAUGAGCCGAUGUCGGAUUAGCUAGUUGGCGGGGUAAAGGCCCACCAAGGCGACGAUCCGUAGCUGGUCUGAGAGGAUGAUCAGCCACACUGGAACUGAGACACGGUCCAGACUCCUACGCGAGGCAGCAGUGGGGAAUAUUCGACAAUGGGCGCAAGCCUGAUCCAGCCAUACCGCGUGGGUGAAGAAGGCCUUCGAGUUGUAAAGCCCUUUUGUUGGGCAAGAAAAGCAGCAGAUUAAUACCCCGCUGUUCUGACGGUACCCAAAGAAUAAGCACCGGCUAACUUCGUG